UCUUCUUGGCGUGAUGAUGGUGAUGGUGGUGGAAGGGCUGAGUGGGGCGAGUUCAGAACUUUGCCUGGACUGGGAGGGUGGGAGGACCUGGAGGGAGGGAUAAAAGUCGUUUUGUUUGGUGAUGCCGAGUUGACCCCGCAGCCUUGGAAGCCCUCACCCGGGAAGGCAGCGAGCUGUUUGCCUGUUUACAGCGAAGGGCCGAGGAUUAAGUGUGAAGGAGGAUUCUGGCAGUUGGGCUGAACAAAGACAUAAGACAUGUUUAAUCCUCAGCAGGAUGCUUGGCAUAUAGUAAGUACUUAAUAAAUUAUAAUUAUUUCCACUGCA
rnacentral:lncRNA from 1 species